CAGAAGUGGAGGCAGAAAGAUUGUAAGAACCAGAGGGGAUGGAGGACACCAUUUCCAAUUAGUCCUUCUAAACACCGCAGGCUGACACGGGAUUUUCCAGUUUCUAAAUCUGUAGCUAAUGAAAAUGUGUUUCUGGACUCAACCUGAAUGUUCUGGUUUUUAAACGAAGCAGAUCACAAGCAGCUUGGACUUAAAAGUGACUCCUUCUUGCUUUUGGACAGAGGGAAAUAGCUUUGCUGUGAACACAAAGCCCAGUUUCCUUCACCCUAUCAUACUGGGGCAUUGCAGACUGAGUAGAAGAACAAAGGUUUCCUGUGAAGAGGAAGCAGAUGACCUUCCUCAGACUUAAGGAAAGCCUCGAACAUUAGUGAUUUGAAACCUUU